rnacentral:rRNA from 1 species
GACGAACGCUGGCGGCGUGCUUAACACAUGCAAGUCGAACGGAAAGGCCUGCUUUCCCUUGUGGAUUGCGGGCACUCGAGUGGCGAACGGGUGAGCAACACGUGAGUGAUCUGCCCCCAACUUGGGUAUAAGCCUGGGAAACUGGGUCUAAUUCCCGAUAGGACUGCAGGGUGGUGCCUGUGGUGGAAAACGAUUUUCUAGUGGUUGGGGAUGAGCUCGCGGCCUAUCAGCUUGUUGGUGGGGUAAUGGCCUACCAAGGCGGCGACGGGUAGCCGGCCUGGGAGGGUGGACGGCCACAUUGGGACUGAGAUACGGCCCAGACUCCUACGGGAGGCAGCAGUGGGGAAUAUUGCACAAUGGGCGGAAGCCUGAUGCAGCGACGCCGCGUGGGGGAUGACGGCCUUCGGGUUGUAAACUCCUUUCGACCGCGAGGAAGCCACCUGGUUGGAAGGGUGGUGACGGUAGUGGUAGAAGAAGCACCGGCUAACUACGUG